GGUAAAAUGGCCGAAUGCUUAGGCGGUGGGCUGUAGUCUCACUUAUAGGGGUUCAAUUCCUCUUUUUAUCA
rnacentral:tRNA from 1 species